AGAGUUUGAUCCUGGCUCAGGAUGAACGCUAGCGGCAGGCUUAAUACAUGCAAGUCGUGGGGCAGCAUGGGGUGUAGCAAUACACUCUGAUGGCGACCGGCAAACGGGUGCGGAACACGUACGCAAUCUACCCAUAACUGGGGCAUAGCCCGGGGAAACCCGGAUUAAUACCUCGUAACAUCAUGAAGUGGCAUCACUAUAUGAUUAUAGCUCCGGCGGUUAUGGAUGAGCGUGCGGCUGAUUAGGUAGUUGGCAGGGUAACGGCCUACCAAGCCUACGAUCAGUAACUGGUGUGAGAGCACGACCAGUCACACGGGCACUGAGACACGGGCCCGACUCCUACGGGAGGCAGCAGUAAGGAAUAUUGGGCAAUGGACGCAAGUCUGACCCAGCCAUGCCGCGUGGAGGAUGAAGGCCCUCUGGGUUGUAAACUUCUUUUAUCUGGGACGAAACCCCUGUUUUCUAACGGGAUUGACGGUACCAGAGGAAUAAGCACCGGCUAACUCCGUGCCAGCAGCCGCGGUAAUACGGAGGGUGCAAGCGUUAUCCGGAUUCACUGGGUUUAAAGGGUGCGUAGGAGGGCAGGUAAGUCAGUGGUGAAAUCUCCGAGCUUAACUUGGAAACUGCCGUUGAUACUAUCUGUCUUGAAUACCGUGGAGGUGAGCGGAAUAUGUCAUGUAGCGGUGAAAUGCUUAGAUAUGACAUAGAACACCAAUUGCGAAGGCAGCUCACUACACGAAUAUUAACUCUGAGGCACGAAAGCGUGGGGAUCAAACAGGAUUAGAUACCCUAGUAGUCC
rnacentral:rRNA from 1 species